UACAGAGGGGGGCAAGCGUUGUCCGGAAUUAUUGGGCGUAAAGGGCUCGUAGGCGGUUUGUCGCGUCGGGAGUGAAAACUCAGGGCUUAACCCUGAGCCUGCUUCCGAUACGGGGCAGACUAGAGGUAUGCAGGGGGAGAACGGAAUUCCUGGUGUAGCGGUGAAAUGCGCAGAUAUCAGGAGGAACACCGGUGGCGAAGGCGGUUCUCUGGGCAUUACCUGACGCUGAGGAGCGAAAGUGUGGGGAGCGAACAGG
rnacentral:rRNA from 1 species